UCCCAGCUACUCGGGAGGCUGAGGCACAAGAAUCGCUUGAACCCAGGAGGCAGACGUUGCAGUGAGCUGAAUCAUACCACUGCACUCCAGACUGAGUGACAGAGUGAGAUUCUGUCUCAAAAAAAAAAUAAUGAGAAUUAUGACAUGUUAGAAAUUUCACAAAUAAGAUUACUCUGAAUGAUAUUUAUAAAUAUACCUUUAUUUUUUCCUUCUAGUGAGCUUAAGAUACUUGACUAUGGAAAACCUAUUAUAAGAGCAAAAAAACGAAAUAUUUUUCUCUAAGUUUUGUGGACAUCACCUCUCUGCUUAAAAUUUUCCAAUGGCUUUGCACUGCAAAUUGAAUAAAUUUCAAAUGCAAUGUCUGCAAGGCCUUACAUAAUCUAGAUGUCACCUGUCUUUAUAGUUUAUUCUCUUAAUAUUUUUGCCUGGUUCCCUAUUCCCAGUAGACUUCCUUUUAAUAUUCAGUCAUGUCUAGGCUCUUCCUUCCUUAGAAAUUUUGCCUAUCAUCGUCCACAUUUUCCCUGGUCUUCAUGUAUCUGGAUUUUUUGUUUGUUUGUUUGUUUUCUUUUUUUCAUUCAGUUCUCAGCUCAAAUGUCAUCUUCUUAGAAAUGUUUACUCUGACAAUCUUAGAUAAAGUAGGCCCCUCCUCACCCUGCCUCUAUUUUAUUAGUCUAUUUUACUUACUCUAAAGUAUUCUACAUUACCUUAACCUGUUGAUUCCAUGAGGGCAUGAAAUUUUUUGGUCACUAUAAAGGAGACAACUUGGCUAAAAUAUCAACAGUGUCAUAUGUGAUCCUGCCACCUUCAGAUUCAGUUCUUUGAAAGCUCAAAGAUUAGCUUUGAUUGUGAGAGAGGAGAACAGAAGAAAAUGGUCAAGCACAUGGUUAGGGUGGGCCCUUGGUUGAAUUCUUUUGAACAAAAGAACAGCCUGAAAAAUCAAGCUGUGGGCACAGAUAAGGGAACUUGCACAGCAGAGCUUGCCUAAGACAUGCCUACUGCAGCACAGACAAGAAAGGCUACACAAGUGACCUGCCCAGACAUGCCCACGAUAGAAAAUUCCAUCCUCUAACACAUGUGCAGUUAAGGGGAACAAAGCAAUAUAGAGUAACUCAAGCUAAGGGCCCACAUACACACUAGGAGGAUGGGGAUGGAGCUACCAGAAAUUUGUGCCUUGUGAAAAUUAGACAUCCAGGCCCCAUCAGUUUCUUAUAAAAGCCUUUGCAUUCAACUGUAAAAACAGCAACCCGUUUGGUCCCCUUCUCUGCUGCAGAGAGCUUCUUUCACUUAUUAAAUUUUUGCUCCAACCUCACCCUUUGUGUCCACGUUCCUUAAUUCUCUCUGUUUUGAGACAAAGAACUCCAGGUGACACAUCACAAUGAAAGACUGCUACAUUGUGGUACAUUGGUAACACUGUAACAAUUGGACUGACUUCACAUAUGGGUAGUCACUGAGAAGAGGACAACUGGCUACAAAUAUCAACAGGCUUUAACGGUCUUCUUUCCUUCAAGUCCAGUUCUUUGAAAGUCCAAAUUUGCUCUGAACUGACUUCAAGCAAGUGCCCACUCUUGAACAAAUUACUGAGGCUGGAGGAUAAAGACACAAAUUGGCCAAACUUGGAUUACCUGCCUUCUGCAUCUUAAAGGCAUGCUGUAAAUACCUGACUGAUCUUACAGUGAGGAGAAUAUAGGAUGGAAUGGAUAUAAGAGCAAUCCCAUUAAAGACUACCUGUGGAUAUUAGUCAUCUUCCAAACAAAAGAUGCUGAGUUCUCUAAAUUGCUUCAUGUGAGAUGUAACACAAAACCACAUGCACAGGCACAAUUUGGGAUUGUGUGGAGUUAUGUGACUUGUUCAAUGAGUGUGAGUGAGAGUGACAUCUGCCAAUCCAAAGUCAUAGAAUUUAAUAGCCUAAUGAGAUUUUAAGAGACCUUCUUGCACUUGGGCAUGGUGACUUACUGCAUUUGAGAUGAUGCCACCCCACAUUCUGGGUCCCUGACACACUAUGAUGAAGAGAGCUUUUUGCUAACCUAAAAUGGACAUUUAGCAUGAAUGAGAAAUAAAACCGUGGAUUGUAAGUGACUGAGAAUCAAAGUUAUUUGUUACAAUAAUGUAAGCCUACUUAUUCUAACUGAUGAUACGUUUAUUUUCUUUACCAUCCAGGAAGCCUGGAGAUGUUUAAUAAUAUAGUAUGCUUAUGAUUUUUAAUUUCUCACUGUUCUUUGCUUCACAUUUCCUGUCACCAACUGUUUAGAACAUCAGCCAUAAUUUAUGCACAUGCAAAAGGAAGUUAAAAUUAUUGAUGGGAAAAAUUAGCUGUUAUGAAUUGGAUAUGGAGAAUGAUUUAUUCAAUAAAAAUAUAGGAAUAUAAUAGAAUAAAUUCUUUUAGAAAAGAAGUAAAGGAUUAAACUUUAAAUGUAGAACAUCAUUAAUAUUAUACUACUCUCAAAUUCCUAUGGACUUUUGUUGUUUAUUUUGAGAAUUAUCUAUAAAAGAAAGACAAGAUGAUGAAUGCAACUGAUAAAAUGUGUGGGUUUUAGGCUAUGAUUAUAAAGGUAACUUUUUCUAUGGUAAAAAUCUGAAUUUUUAUUAGAUGCGCAUGUUCAUAGAGAAAAUUUAUAUUAAUAUACAAAUAUAUUAUUAUACCUUUUAAAGAAGAGUGUUACAUUUGUCAUAUGUUACCCCAAAUUUUAAUGAAUUAUUUUUCUUUUAUAGAAGAUCUAAAUUUUAGAGAUAAGUUACUUGCCAUAGGACACAACUGCAAGCAAUAAAAGUUUAAAAAAUUAUAUGGUCUGCACACUUAGUCUUGGAGUUAACUAUUUUAACCAUCUGAUGGCCAAGAAGCAAUUUUAGCAUAAUAAGCUUUUUCUAUAGAAGAUUACAGUAGGAAUUCUAGCCUAGAGGAUCCUUAAUUAUGAUGAAUUAAGAAUUCGAAAUACUUAAUUAUGAUGUUAUUUUAGCUCACUAUGACUUUUGAGGUGUUAGGAAACUUCUUUAUGUGUCUAAGAAGGACAAUUUAUGACAAUGGUAAAGUAUGGAGAGGCCAGUAAAAAGGGAGACAUCACAGUCUUAUGGGAGCCAUAAGGAAGGAUAGAAUAAGGUCUUAUCUUGGAACAUGCAAGGGCAAGAGCAGUUGAGGCGAAAGAGUGAAAGUUUUCAUAACUAUUGUUAUUUUCUAGGCAUACAGGGCUCAAGAUAAAGUUUAUCAUCAUCAAUCCCAAAUCCAAGUUUCAGUCAGGACACAGAAAUCACUCUAAGCAUUUUUUAACAAAGAGAGAUUUCACAUAGGGGAUUAAUUGCUUACAAAAUCUUUGAGAGAACUAAAGAUGCAAAGGUCAGGGAUAACUUCUGCUAUCUUUUAGGUUCACCACUACAGGAAUAGUGUGGAAAACCAGGUGGUAAUAAGGGUCUGCCAACCAAGACAAGGAACUCCAGAAAACUAUUAUUGAUGAUCACAGCAAAACCUCUGCAGAAAUUUCACAUCUGCUGAAGCCCAUGGCAUUUGCCUAGCACUGCCAAAGGAAAAAAUAAUGUCUUCUGGUCUCCAUUCCACCUUCAAAAUCAUGCUCCAGUGCACCUUGUUGUUAGAACAUAAAUUGUAUUCUAUUCCACAGAGUCAAGAGAAUCUAGAGAAUUUGAUUUCUAAAUUCCCAGCUCCUUCAAAACAGAAGAAACCUUAGAAGGGUUUUGCUGCUUGCAAAAUGAAAUUAAACCUGCACACUUAUUUCUGUUCUCUUAAUAGAGACUUUGAAGAGAUUAAUUCAUGAUACCUGUAAUGUUUCUCAGAUUUCCUAGGACCAUCUCAAAUCAUUCAUACCUGUGCCUCUCCCUCACUUUUCAGUUGCCCUGCUCCCAAACACCUUCACUCUCAUCCACUUUUUUUUCUCUUUGUCCUACUCCCUUCCCUUCAUUCCUUUAUGCUACUCAACUUAAAAAUGAAAAGCAAACAAAUGAACAACAACAACAAAAAAAAACAUUGAACAAGCUUUGGAUUUCCCACUGGAUGUAAGAUUCAGGCUUUUAAGAAAUUGUAUGUAAAUUUCCUAAGCCCACUCAAUGUGUUUGUCUUUUAAGUUCUUAGGUGUUUAUGAGAUCCUGGUCACUAUAUCUAAUCAAAACUGACUUUUUUUUAUAUAGGACCUAGUUCCUUUCUUUUGUUUACUCACAACAGCACUCUUGAAAGUCACUAUCAGCGCAAAACGUUUGGCCUGACUGGGUAAGGGAUACGUAACAACAUCAUAUGGCAAAGGUAAGAUUAGAUAUUCAACACUUCUUUUUAUUUGGCCACCCAUACCACUGAGAACUUCUUUCUCUUGUCCUUCUCUUCUCCUGUUUUCACCUUCCUUUCUUCCGAACUCCUAAUCACUCUUCGUUUCUUAUGCAGAACGUAAGUUUCAUAUCUCCUUUUAGUUUCAUGAUCUCCUUUUACACUACAGUAGGUGCAGGGAGAUAAGGAGCAUCUCACUUUCCCUUCCCAAGGAGACCUAUGAAGAAGUAUUUUAUUAAAUGAAAAAUCAUCUACUCUGAACAGCAGUUAUGUCAUUUUCAUAGGGACAGAAGUAGUGGCCAAUAUUGUUAUUCUAAAUGGAGCAAUUUAUUUUGUACUAUGCUAUUCAAAGAAAGACCAGUGCUUUCAUUCUCAGUUCUUAACCUCAUAAAAAAGGUGAACUGUAUAAUUAGUACAGAAGCAAGCUGAAAACCAGAAUGCACAGAGAAACAGACUAUUGUUAUUACUAGUUUGAUAAUCUGGCAUAGAACCCAGAGCAACACAGGCUUCCCUAGUGAAGGCUUCAGUGAUGUUUGAAUGAGUAGAGGAAUUGCAAUCCUCCCUUCCUGAGCCAUGUUUGAAUUAUUUCUAUGGAGAAAUGGUGGGUGAAGUGGAUAAGGGUGCAGAGCCUGGACUCAGCCUGCCUGAAUUUGAAUCUUUUCACUGGUUCUUAAUUGUCAUGCAAUCUAGAAAAUCUGGAUGUAGGACAACUUCGCUAACAUUUCUAAGACUCUGUCUCAUGGAAAAGAAAUGAAACACAGACAAAAAUAUUCCCUCCCUCAUAGCCGUUGAAAGGAUUAAAUAAGGUGAUAUAUGUAAAGCAUUCAACAACACACACAGAUAUGUGCAUUAAUGCACACAUGCUUUUAUAAAACGCAAGUUACCAAAACAAAAAAACUCAUUGUCAUUCCAGGCUCCUUUCUCCACUCAGCCUCCAUAUCCAGUUGUUCACAGCAUUUAGCCAAUUAUACCUUUUAAAUAUCUUCCAAAUCUUUUUCCUCCCUACUUUAGUUUAAACCCUCAAAAACAUCUCCUGCCUAUACUGUGGCAAUCAUAUCUUAACUCAUUUUUAUUAUUAUGGUUGUGUCAUACCCCCACCCACCCCACAUUCCCAUUGAUUACUUACACCACAGCCAGUGUUCUUCCUGUACAGAAAAUGUGAUGUCUAACUCUAAUUUAAAUGCCUUCACUGUUUCUGAAAUACCUACAGAGUAAACUUUAAUCUAUAUAUUUUAGUAAAUAUGAACCUUAUCAUCCAAAUUUGCCAACAUCUACAACAGUGAGUAUCAAACUCCAGAGUGUAUCACACUUUCCAGGGAUAUUGCAAAAAAAUGCAAAUUUUAGAUCCUUACUCCAUGAACAGCCUCAUACGCUAAGUCUCAAUUAAGACCAUCAGUCUGAAUUUUAUCACUUAAUCCAGGAAAAUCUGAAGCAAGAUUCCUGUGGUCAUCCCAUAAGACCUGUGGCUUCACUCUGUAUCCACAUAGUCACCCAUUUCUUCACUACACCCACUCUCUGUCUGCCCUAUACAACCAGUGGGUCUUCAAAUACAAUAUAGUUUAAAUGUCUUCAUGCCUUUACUACUAUUUCUACUUCUUGGAAAGUCCCCCCACCCAUUCUGUCUAUCUAAUUCUUAUUCAUCUUUCAGCAUUUCAUUCAAGGUCACUUCUAUGUGAGGAUAUCCCUAGUCCACUCAUGGGGCUGUCUAUCUUCUCCUGCAUUUCAGUAAGCUCUUGUACUAACCUCUACUUGUGCUUGUUGCAUUGGGUUACAAGCGAAUUUUAAAUGUUAUUCCUCCCUACUAGACUAUGAAAUUAUGGCAUGCAGGGAAAACUUCCUACUUAUUUUUGUGUUGCCAUUAUUCAGUACCUGGCACAUGCUAGGUGCCCAACAAAUAAAUAUUUAUUAGCUGAAUGAAUAAACUAAUAAAUAUUAGAAAGUCACUUACUUGGGAUUAUUUAAAAAUUGACGUCACCUCCACAUGACAAGAUAUUUCUUCCACAAGCUUUCUGCUCUUAUUCGAACAACCAUCAUUUAAUACCAUCUCAAAUCUUUACAAGACUAAGAGCUAAAUGUUAUUAACUUUAUACUUAAAACAUCUGACAAAAUUGAAGGCUGUUUUCUAUUUAUUUGAUUAGUUGGUUUAACUGAAUAAGAAAUUACAAGACCCUGAUGAGAUAGAACGUGGAAAGGUGUUUUACUUUUCCUUUAUUCCCUUUUAAAUACGAUGGCUGGAAUAACCCAGGUGUCACCUGAAAUGUUGAUGACUUUGCCUGAAAGUGGAAUUCUCUAACCAUCUGCAGCUGGUGCAGUUCAGUUGACUGUGGGAGUGGAUGAUCUAUAGGUUUACCUGACACUUGUAACCAAGCUCUGUCGGCACAAUAGAGUGACCAUUUAAACAAGGGCUAGCAUUCUUUCCAACUUUUUACAUUUUCACUGAAAGGAGAUAUUAAAGACUAAGAGUGUUGAACUUUACCUGAGUUUUGUGCUCCUAGAAAACAGCAAUGAUUAAGAAAUCCUUGUAUCCUUUUGUAUUUUAGGAAAUUGCUUAUUACAAAGAACCAUCCUUUCUCAUGUGAUUUAUGUAAGACUCCCAGAUGACCUCCUUGUUUUUCUAUGACAAAGCCAGAUGCAGAUCCUCCAAAUGUUCAUUAUUUGUCUUCUAAAUGAUUAGCUAAAGUUUUUACCCCCACUCACCAAUCUGGAAAAAAUGCCUGCUAAUUUGACUUGCCAUAAUUCUCUACAGGCUUCUCUGCUUUCUUAGGCUCCUGAAUUGGGCCCAUCCUGGAGCUUAAUAAGCAAGCACUGAGAGCUUAUUUAUGCAUUAGAACAUGGAAAAACUCCAUUUAAAACCCCUUCUCAAGAUUCAGCUGGUUGUCAGAAUGACACGUCUGCUCAGCUAUCCACUCAUGCCCACCUGCUUAUCCAGCUUCCCAUACUCAUGCACCAAGGCAUCAGGGUAGAUAAAGAGGCUGGGAAGUUCAAGGGCAUAGGCCUGACUUCUGGCAAGAGCUUCUGUGCUGCAUUAUCACAUGAUGGAGAAUCUCAAAGAUGAAGCGGACAGGUGUGAAGACAUCACAUGGCAAGACAGGAUGCAAGAGAGUAAAACCGAAGAAGUGAGACACUUUUUAAUAACCUACUUUCUCAAGAACUAAUCCAUUCCCAUGGGUGAGCAAGAACUCACUCACCCCAGCAGGAGGGUGUUAAUGUACUCAUAAGGGAUCCCUCCAUGACCUAAAAAACUCCGACUAGGCUCCACCUCCCAAUACAACCACGCUUGGGGAUGAAAUUUCAACAUGAGUUUCAGGGGAAACAAACAAAUCAUAUCCAAACCAUAGCAGUAUCCAUUUAUAUCUGAUUUCCUUAAUAAAAUGACAUGGAGCACCCUCCAAACAGCAUAAAUAUGCAUACCCUAGUUAUGUGCAUAUUUUCAAUUCACUGAACAACCUUCAGUUUCAACAAAGAAUGCAUUGUUUAUUUUUCUCUGUACAAAAAGCUUGCUGUGAGUCUGUCUCCCCCAGGAGAAAAAUAAAUAAAUUUCAUGACUUUGUAAUUGUCAUCUUAAAAACUUUCUUGCCUUCAUUUAGUUAUUUAAGAAAAAAAUCUUUGCAAUGCAUCAAGUACUGUUUAUGUCAUUGUAAAGGUUGGAAAAACAUCAACUAAUUGUCAGGGAAAAAUUCAGUUUAUAUUCAAAGUUUCCAACAUUAAAUAUUGUGAAAAUGCAAAGAAGCCCUUCUACUUUCACUUCUCACUUGUAGGAUUUAGAUCUACUGUCUAAAAUAUGAUAAAAUAUUGGGUGACAAAUUUCCUUUGAAUACAAGGUGUGGAAACUAAAAAAAAAUGUGAUUCAGUUCUCUCUUGUAACCUAGAUAUAAAUAAUGCCUGGAUUAAAAUUCUUAGCACAUUCAGAGAACAAGUAGUUCAUGGUGGCCAUAAUGUGUAGGUUAGAAUCCUGGGUUCUAGCAGUAGGCUAGCUUGUUUUUGAAUCCCACCCAGCUAUGCCACUAACUGGUUUCAUGACUAUGAGCCAUCAACUUUACUUUUCUUAAUCUCAAUUUUUUCUUAUGUAAAAUUGUAGUAAAUAUAACAAUAAAUUAAUUAUAAAAUA